GUUGCAGUUAGAACGCUCGUAGUCGGAUUUCGGGGCGGGUCGACCGGUCUGCCGAUGGGUACGCACUGGUCGACGCGUCCUUCCUUCCGGAGACCGUCUCACUCUUAACUGAGCGGAGGCGGGAGACGGAAUUUUUACUUUGAAAAAAUCAGAGUGUUUCAAGCAGGCAGCUCGCUCUUGCAUGGAUUAGCAUGGGAUAAUGAAAUAGGACUUUGGUGCUAUUUUGUUGGUUUCGAACACCGAAGUAAUGAUGAGAAGGGACAGUCAGGGGCACUCGUAUUCCGCCGAGAGAGGUGAAAUUCUCAGACCAGCGGAAGACGAACCACUGCGAAAGCAUUUGCCAGGGAUGUUUUCACUGAUCAAGAACGAAAGUUAGGGGAUCGAAGACGAUCAGAUACCGUCGUAGUCUUAACCCAUAAACCAUGCCCGACUAGGGAUUGGAGGAUGUUCACUUAUUGACUCCUU
rnacentral:rRNA from 1 species